rnacentral:rRNA from 1 species
UACAGAGGUCCCAAGCGUUGUUCGGAUUCAUUGGGCGUAAAGGGCGCGUAGGCGGCGGGGUAAGUCUGGUGUGAAAUCUCGGAGCUCAACUCCGAAAUUGCACUGGAUACUGCUCUGCUAGAGGGCUGGAGAGGAGAUCGGAAUUCACGGUGUAGCAGUGAAAUGCGUAGAUAUCGUGAGGAAGACCAGUGGCGAAGGCGGAUCUCUGGACAGCUCCUGACGCUGAGGCGCGAAGGCUGGGGGAGCGAACAGG